rnacentral:rRNA from 1 species
GAUGAACGCUGGCGGCGUGCUUAACACAUGCAAGUCGAACGGAAAGGCCCAAGCUUGCUUGGGUACUCGAGUGGCGAACGGGUGAGUAACACGUGGGUGAUCUGCCCUGCACUUCGGGAUAAGCCUGGGAAACUGGGUCUAAUACCGGAUAGGACCACUUCUUGGAUGUUGUGGUGGAAAGUUUUUUCGGUGUGGGAUGAGCUCGCGGCCUAUCAGCUUGUUGGUGGGGUAAUGGCCUACCAAGGCGUCGACGGGUAGCCGGCCUGAGAGGGUGUACGGCCACAUUGGGACUGAGAUGCGGCCCAGACUCCUACGGGAGGCAGCAGUGGGGAAUAUUGCACAAUGGGCGCAAGCCUGAUGCAGCGACGCCGCGUGGGGGAUGACGGCCUUCGGGUUGUAAACUCCUUUCGCUAGGGACGAAGCGUUUUGUGACGGUACCUGGAGAAGAAGCACCGGCUAACUACGUG